ACUUAGAGUUUGAUCAUGGCUCAGGAUAAACGCUGGCGGCGUGCCUAACACAUGCAAGUCGAACGCGCUUUCGGGCUUCGGCGCGAGAGCGAGUGGCGGACGGGUGAGUAACACAUGGAUACCUACCUUCGAGUGAGGGAUACCGGCGAGAAAUCGCCGACAAUACCGCAUACGCUUCUUCAUAAGGGAAGCAAAGUGGCGCAAGUCACGCUGGAAGAUGGGCCUGUGGCCGAUUAGCUAGUUGGGGGGGUAACGGCCUCCCAAGGCGACGAUCGGUAGCUGGUCUGAGAGGACGAUCAGCCACACUGGGACUGAGACACGGCCCAGACUCCUACGGGAGGCAGCAGUAGGGAAUCUUGCGCAAUGGGCGAAAGCCUGACGCAGCGACGCCGCGUGAGGGAAGAAGGCCUUCGGGUUGUAAACCUCUUUCAGGAGGGACGAAGCCACUCGGGUUAAUAGCCCAGAGGGUGACGGUACCUCCAGAAGAAGCCCCGGCUAACUACGUGCCAGCAGCUGCGGUACGCC
rnacentral:rRNA from 1 species